GUUGAGAGACCUCACCCGCUCCCAUUCCGACCAAGACUGAUUUAUUAAUCAAGUCUUUUGAGUUCCAUAGCAAGGAUGAAUCCAUGUUGUUUCUCCGGAGAUUCGGAGUUGUAAGUGCACUUCGAUCUGUCUGUCUAUCUGUGGUGAUGUGCUUAUCUAGCAUACGCUGAUGAACACCUUGUAUCCUCUGUAAUUUGUGAGGAGAAGGAUGAUGGUCGCCUUGCUUAAUAAUUCACCAAGUUUUGUAUCCCUGAUGCGAUUCUGUUCUUAGUUUCUUACCUUGCAGCAAUCUGAGUGCUUGGCUCGACAUGUUUCUGGCCCUUCUGUUUGUGACACUGUAUUGUAAAUUUGUAAUCAAGGAAAAGAAAUAGUGUGCUACACAAAAUAGCGGAACCCCUGAAAAAAAUACUGUAUAUGCUAGGAGCGUGCUAUUAGCGAGAUAUUUUCUUCAGCAAUCGUAAUUCAGGACCUGCUGGUGCUUUGUGGUUGAAAAUCUGUAGUUUUGUUUGACUGUAUAAUUUGUUUCUCCUGGGCAUUGUGUUUGUCAGAUUGACUCCAACACUUGUUACAUUCUUGCUGAAAAAAUGCUGGCUACUAUAGCAGGAUCAUGAAAGUAGCUUGUUCUUCAUGAAAAAUACCCACAAUAUCGACUGUAAUCAAAUUCUGAACAGUGAAUUGGCAACUUCAGCUGUGUCUUCUCCCACAACAACACCGAUAAGAACCGCAAUGACAACUGAUGGGGAUGUCCUGCAUACUUGGAAUCACAGCAACAACAUCAUAACAGUAUGACUUGGAAUCACCAAAUCCCAACAAUCAUAUUUAGCAUAACAACAACAGAUUAUCACAACCACAACAGGUCACUGACGUCAUGGCCUACAGCCCUACACGUUCACCACCAACAGUGUACAUUGUAUCUCAGUGACAUCAUAGCCAACAAGCUCACAUGGCUCCUUGGAUUCCAUUCUUUGGGUGCCUGCAAGAUAAUAUAUAUGAGACAAGCCUGGAAAUCUCAACUCCAGCAUAUCACCCAUGACUAGAGUGAAAAAUGCAAUAAUUAUGAACAACGGAUGCAAGGCAGGAGGAAGCAGCUCGGGCGGACUCUGGGCGCCGCCGCGGCCGGCUCCCUCCCGCCUCCUCCCUUCCCUCUCCUCAUGGACUCUACCAGAAUUCCAUCACUUGCAUUAUCGUAUCCCGAGCUCCGACCACCCAAAGCAGCCAUGGCCAAGUACCCGCAACAGCAAGAAGGCUCAAGGUACCCAACAGAAAUAAGUCAAUCAACACAUAGACAAAAGAAUACCUCGUGUUCAGGCAAGCGACGGGUAUGCAGUCACUAUUGUUUCUGACCACCCGCGAGCAAUUGACAUAGCUAGCCCAUGUUACAAAAAUAGGAUCAAAAACGACGAAGCCGUCCGACUGCUGGAGGCCAUGUAGAUAGGGUCGCUCAUCCCAGCGAGGAAGAGGGCAGCUACUGCUCUUGUCCAAGUUGUCAUCCACGACCCAGAAGAAAGAAAGCUUGUAGUCCAUCUCAGUGACAAAACACGUAUAGUUAGGCAGCUUGAAUCCAUCACCAUCAUACAGGAAAAUAAAGUACUAGAGCCUGAUGCUGCAUGAGCUGGCCUAAUAUUGAUGUAAUGUACUACUGUGCAAAAAUAAAUAGAUUUGCAUGGUGAAGAAUAUAACUAUAUAAGAUGGAGAACGAAGUAGCUCAAAGAACCACCUGAUGGGGAGAAAUAUAAGAAGUGAAAACAAAAAAAAAA
rnacentral:lncRNA from 1 species